GGAUGGGUGAGUAAUGCUUAGGAAACUGCCCAGUAGUGGGGGAUAGCCCGGGGAAACCCGGAUUAAUACCGCGUACGCCCUUCGGGGGAAAGCAGGGGCUCUUCGGACCUUGCGCUAUUGGAUGUGCCUAAGUCGGAUUAGCUAGUUGGUGGGGUAAAGGCCUACCAAGGCGACGAUCCGUAGCUGGUCUGAGAGGAUGAUCAGCCACAUCGGGACUGAGACACGGCCCGAACUCCUACGGGAGGCAGCAGUGGGGAAUAUUGGACAAUGGGGGCAACCCUGAUCCACCAUGCCGCGUGUGUGAAGAAGGCUUUCGGGUUGUAAAGCACUUUCAGUGAGGAGGAAGGCUGUAAGGUUAAUACCCUUGCAAAUUGACGUUACUCACAAAAGAACCACCGGG
rnacentral:rRNA from 1 species